ACCAGGACGUGACUGGAGCCUACACACCGGAACCCCUUCGCAAAGCGAAGGGUCCAGCGUCCAGGAAGAUCAGUAUUUUCCAGAAUUCUUUUCCCUGUGUGGUUGGCCACAAGUGAAAUUUGCAAGAGACUCAGAACGUGGAAAGGAAGCAACAGGCACUGUCUUCUGAAGGUCAGUGUAAGGUGCCAGGGGUCACUGUAGCUCCCACACUUCGCACCAGACAAAGUUAAACAGCCACAGAAGAAUUUGUUCAAGAAUAUUGCAAUAGGAGAGAAGACUGAACUCAACUCUACUGAAACGCAAGGCCAUCUGUCUGCUCAUUGGUGCCCAUGAAAGUCAGGCUCCUACCUUCCCACAAAGUCUGGGAGAUACAGAUGCUAUCUGCUUUGAUGUUCACAUGUCAGAUGGUCCCCAGGUUUUUGAGAAAGUCACUUCCAGGGUGGUGAAACUGACAAGAGGUUGGAAUGUUUCUAAGGAGCAGAGAAAGAGUUUACAAUUCCAAGUUUCCUAAGGUAAAGUGAUCUAAGAAAGAGGAGGUCAGGGAUCUACAGUUAGGAAGAAACCUGUCUAAAGUUUGGUCAAGCUGAGGGGAAAUGUUUUUUUUUUUUUUGCAGUACGCGGGACUCUCACCGUCGUGGCCUCU